GGUUUAUAGCUCAGUGGUAGAGCACUUGCCUAGCACGUGUGAGGCACUGGGUUCGAUUCUCAGCACCA
rnacentral:tRNA from 1 species